AUGGAACGCUGGCGGCAGGCCUAACACAUGCAAGUCGGGCGAGAGGCGGCCGGGUGAGUAAUGUAUGGGGAUCUGCCUGAUGGAGGGGGAUAACUAAUGGAAACGGUAGCUAAUACCGAACACCUACAGAGGAAACCAUAUGGGUUUAGCUUGUAGGUGCGGUAACGGCUCACCUAGGCGACGAUCCCUAGCUGGUCUGAGAGGAUGAUCAGCCACACUGGGACUGAGACACGGCCCAGACUCCUACGGGAGGCAGCAGUGGGGAAUAUUGCACAAUGGGCGCAAGCCUGAUGCAGCCAUGCCGCGUGUAUGAAGAAGGCCUUCGGGUUGUAAAGUACUUUCAGUCGGGAGGCGUUACCGACAGAAGAAGCACCGGCUAACUCCGUGCCAGCAGCCGCGGUAAUAC
rnacentral:rRNA from 1 species